ACACUCCGACCCAAAUUAAUUCAUUAUAUGCAUCCCAAACAUCAAAACUCUUACAUUGUCGCUUGUAUUACGCUUGGAUUAGUAAAAGACAACAUGAUUUCUCCCUUACGCGAAUGGAUUUAUGUCUCGUCUUACUUGAUCAUCAAGCUAAGCCCCAAUGUCACUGGUCAAGAUUGUCAAUUGCGUUCUGAUGUUCCCUUACGCCAAUCCUUGG
rnacentral:lncRNA from 1 species